rnacentral:rRNA from 1 species
AAUCAACGCUGGCGGCGUGCCUCAGACAUGCAAGUCGAACGCGAAAGUCCCCUUCGGGGGAUAAGUAGAGUGGCGUCCGGGUGAGUAACACGUAGGUAAUCUACCUUUGGGUGGGGAAUAACGCAGGGAAACUUGCGCUAAUACCGCAUAAUGCAGCGGCACCACAUGGUGACAGUUGUUAAAGCGGGGGAUUUUCGAACCUCGCGCCUAAAGAGGAGCCUGCGGCAGAUUAGCUAGUUGGUAAGGUAACGGCUUACCAAGGCGACGAUC